GGAUGCGAUCAUACCAGCACUGAAGCACCGGAUCCCAUCAGAACUUUGUAGUUAAGCGUGCUUGGGCGAGAGUAGUACUAGGAUGGGUGACCUCCUGGGAAGUCCUCGUGUUGCAUUCC
rnacentral:rRNA from 1 species